rnacentral:lncRNA from 1 species
AGUGGGAGGAAGAACUGACAAGUGAGGUUCCAGAGAGGGCAGGAGAAGAGGAGAUUCCCAUAGGGGGAUUAACACUUUCUUUUCUUUUUUCUUUCUAAGACAGGGUCUCACUCUGUCGCCCAGGCUGGAGUGCAGUGACACAAUCUUGGCUCACUGUAGUGUAGACUUCCCAGGCUCAAGGGAUUCUCCCACCCCAGACUCCCAAGUAGCUGGAACUACGGGUGUGCACCACCACCACACCUGGCUAAUGUUUCUUUUUUUGGUAGACACAGAGUCUCACUAUUUAGCGCUGAUUGGUCUCCAACUCCUGGCCUCAAGCGAUCCUCCUGCCUAGGCUUCCCAAAUUGCUGGGAUUACAGGCAUGAGCCACAAUGCCUGGCCUCUGCUAGUUCCAUAUUCUCUAGAGUUGUCUUUACUUUCUGCUAGUGUGUCCCUCAUUGUGCUGAUCCUCUGUAAAAAUUAAUACCUUUUUUUUUUUUUCGAGAUGGAGUUUCACUCUUGUUGCCCAGGCUGGAGUGCAAUGGCGCUAUGUCGGCUCAGCGCAACCUCCACCUGCCGGGUUCAAGCCUCCCGAGUAGUUGGGAUUACAGGCAUGUGCCACCAUGCCCAGCUAAUUUUGUAUUUUUAGUAGAGAUGGGGUUUCUCCAUGCUGGUCAGGCUGGUCUCCAACUCCCGACCUCAGGUGAUCUGUCUGCCUUGGCCUCCCAAAGUGCUGGGAUUACAGGCAUGAGCCAUUGUGCCUGGCCGAAAUUAAUACUUUUUAUAUUAAAUUUACAUAUAUAUACGUUUUUUCUUUUUGAUACCGGGUCUCACACUGUCACCCAGGCUGGAGUACAGUGGCACAACCUCUGCUCACUGCAGCCUCCACCUGCCAGGCUCAAGCAAUUCUCCUGCCUCAGCCUCCUGAGUAGCUGGGAUUAUAGGUAAGUGCCACCACACCCAGCUGAUUUUUGUGUUUUUUGUAGAGACGAGGUUUUGCCAUGUUUCCCAGACUGUUCUCAAACUCCUGAGCUCAAAGCAGUCCACCCAUCUUGUCCUCCCAGAGUGCUGGGAUUACAGGUGUGAGCCACCUUGCUCAUUCUAGUUUAAACUGUUGAGUGGUUUGUGUCUCCUGAUUGGACUCCUACAAAUACAGAAUUGAUGCUAGGAAGGGUACCAGGAGAUAGACGCAUACAGAUGGGAUUUGGGAAUAGGUUUGGUUAUCCAAGGAGCAGUGCUGAGCUCCUUGCUAAUGGGGUAUGGGAUGCUGGUGAUUUCCAGGAAGUGAGCUCACAAUGACUCAAGCUACCACAUAGUGUUGAUUGUGAAAUGCCAGUUGAAGCAUAUGUCCUGCGAGCUUAGGGGUGCUACAAGUUGACCACUGCAGCAGUAAAGAUGACUCUGAAGAAUGGCAUGGGAUGGAUCCUUUCGAAUGCACUUGAGCAGCGGUCUCCAACCACAGGGCCACAGAGCUGGAGCUGGAUCUACCAUGAAAGACUUCUGAAUCCAGGAAGAGAGACUGACUGGGCAACAUGUUAUUCAGGAGAUGGGGUCUCACCCUGUCACCCAGGCUUGAGUACAGUAGUGCUAUCACAGCUCACUGCAGCCUUGAACUCCUGGGCUAAGGAUCCUCCUACCUGAGCCUCCUGAGUAGCUGGGACUGGUCUCCCUCUCUUGUCCAAGGCUGGAGUGUAGUAGUGCUAUCACAGCUGACUGCAGCCUCAACCUUCCAGGCUGAAGCGAUCCUCCCAUCUCAACCUCCCACGUGGCUGAGACUAUAGGUGCUUGCCACUAUGCCCAACUAAUAUUUGGAAUUUUCCUAUACGUGGAUUCCAGAGGGGUGACAGCGAAACGUAGGACCAUCCAGUUGCAGAAAAACAAGCUUAACACGCCCACUGAUUCUACAUUAUGCCCCUACCUCCCGGCAGCCUCUCCAGGCCCAGAACUUUCUCCAGUCAGCCUCCACAGACCAAGCUCAUGACUCACAAUGGCCUAUUUAGGCCCAUACCCUACCUCACGGCAGUCUCUGCAGAUGAGGCUACUGCCUCACAACAGCCUCCACAGGCACAGCUCCACCGUUACAAUGGCCUCUUUAGACCCAGCUCCUGCCUCCCAGCCUUCUCUCCAGGCCCUGAGCUUUCUCAAGUCGACCUCACCAGGCCCAGCUCAUGCUUCUUGGCAGCCUCUCCAGGCCCAGCUCCUGCAUCUUGGCAGCCUCUCCAGGCCCAGCCUCUGCCUCCUGUCAGCCUCUACAGUCCCAACAUCUGCCUCACAGCAGAUUCUUCAGGCCCAGUAUCUGCCUCACUGUGGACCACCCAAGCCAAGCUCCCAACCUUUCAGCAGCUUCUACACACCCAGCUCCUGCCACCCAGUGGCCUCUUUAGGCCAAGCUCAUGCCUCACAAGGGCCUUU